GGCAGGUAGGCAGGGCGAGCGAGCACAGCGGGAAACACGGGUACGGUAAGAGAGAGAAAAAAACAGAGUAGCAUUAAUAGGGUGCUCAUUUCUUUUGACUUCGAUUGGUAAUUGGGCAAUGGGUGAUUGGGCGGGGCAGGGGGGGCACUCAAGGGUCAGGGGGGGACACGAUUACGAUUAUUCUCAAUAUCAUUACCUAACACAUUAAGUAAAUCGACUAUAUCAAUUUAAUUAAUUAAAAAUUAAUUCGUCCCUUCAACUCGAAGAUCCUGAUCUACGCUGCAUAUCGAAUUCUCCAUUUUCUUUGGAUUUAAUUUUUUUCUUCCUCCAAAUUAAGUAAAAAGCCAAUCCCUUCCGUCGGAUUCGUCCUGGUCACGGCUCGUGCUUUCUCAUCGCCAAUGCACUCGUAAAUAUCGCGAGAAUCUUUCGAAAAUAUGUCGACCUCCCUUAACUUAACUGUGUCAUCUUGAAGGGAGUCUCGAGGGCGGAGCAACCCCUGGGAAGUUUAACAUACGCGGUGGCCCGUUUAUCGCGAAACAAUGCUCAGGUGGAAGUUAACUCUAUUAAUAGUUUAGUAUACGAUACACGAAGAAGGGGGUUGGGGAGGAUGUAAAUCCGAUUAAACCGAGAAAGAGAAAGUUACUCUCGCCCCGAUAAGCUCGUACACUGUUGACUAUAUAUAUAUAUGUAUAUCGUUUUCUCUUGUACAUACAUCACCUGCCAUAAAGACAAUGUAUACACAAUAUGAAAUGUGUCAAGGUAACUUAGGCGGUGACGUUAAAAUUCUGUCAAACUCACUGGGUACUCGAACUCACUCGCGUGUAUACUCUCUUCUUUUAUUCUUCCUUUGAUAUAGAAGCUCGCAAUAGAUUCCGCGGAGAUUGGCUCUCCUUGGAGUGUAAAGUGACAUCAGGUGAUACGUUGUGAGUGUAUAUAAAUAUGUAUGCACAUUAUAUAGAUAUUUGGUAUAACAAUAAGCUACGACAUUAACGUCCGUUUUCUUCGACGCGGUUCAAUGCAUAAACUCGGUUUAACUGUCAAUCACGCAUUUGUAUUUCGAAGAUAAACGGAGUUUACGCAUUGAACCGCGUUGAAGAAAAGGGGCCUAUGACAGUUUCGUAUACAUAUAAUCUUAAUUAAAUAAUGCGUUGGUCAUUCGGCGUGUAAUAAAAAAAAUGAAUUAAAAUCAUCCUGUGCGGACUUUUAUAUCAGACUAAAUCUAACGGAGACUCGUCCGCUAUACUAUUUCGACGUGUUUCUUGCUACCACGAAGUUAAUAGAACGAUCGAUACACAUAGAAACUAAUUGCGAGGAGAUACCACGUCCGACUAAAUGGACUUCUCAACGUACGGUUAAUUGGCCCAAGCUAAAACACCGUCUAGAGUGUUACAGACGUGAGCUAAUCUCCUAAGCGCUAAAGACGAGUAAAUCCAUAUGGUAAAAUAUAUAUAUGCCUGCGUAGUCGCCGAUAUCAAUAAUCGUUCGUUCGAUUGACAUUAAUAUUGAUUGGUGAAUAAAAGUAUGAUAAUUGAGAUCGGCGCUUACGAGGCGUCUAUUCUACGCGCGUCUACUGCAUACGUAGCUUGACGAAUGAUUAACGGUUUUUUCUGGUACGUAUUAUACGUUCGAUGUUUUAAAAGUGAAUGAUUAAAAAAUGUUGAUAUCAGAUGGUUAGAUGUGUUACGGCUUGACACUGAAUUGGUUAGGAGCUGGUCGACUCGCAAUGACUGAAAGUGACAUCUCGGAUCGACCAGUUUUAGGUUUUGAGGCUUUACUCUAAAACCUUCGACAGUCGAACACACGGCUCGGCUAUAAGGAGGAACUUUGGAGGAUGAUGGAGAUGAAAGUUUUAUAAGAUUUAUAAACAAAAAAAAUAGAGGAGCGUACUCGACGUGCUUUAGAAAAUAUUGUGACGCUAAGGUAAAAACAGUGUAUGAGGUGCCAGUAAUAGGGGUACGUAUACGUGAACUAGUUCUUUUUCACUUGUUCAACAUUUCCCCAAAAGAAGUAAAAGGGAGGUAGAGUCCAGCAAGAUAAAAAGUUCAUAAUGAAAUAAGGGUAGAGCAAAGUGUGAUAAGGUAGAGUAAACGAGAAUAAAAGUUGAAUAUGCAAUAGAAAAGAUUAUAGUACAGUGGAGCUAAGUGGAAAGCUAAAAUAAUAUACAAGGUGAUUAAAAAUUAUCUAUGGUGUCCGACAGGGUCACACUACAGGGUACAGAAAAAUUUAAGCGGCAUAGCUGCUGCUGUCAACGACAAGCAGUGCGAAACACUCUGAAAAUGUACGAGAGCACGCUCCGGAGAAGAGGUGUCGGAUCGAAGGUUGUAGGCCAGAGACAAAGAAACGUAAUUACUCUCAAAACAGCUUUCAGGUCUACCCAGAGGUGCAUCGGUCGGAAAAACAACGGCCGCCUGGUGCUCAAGCCUCGCGACCUUUAUUAGCAACGAGCCAAUUGACACAAUCGAUUCUUCCAAUUUUUCUAUCCAUUAUUGAGGAGUCACCGUGUACAUUAAAGCGAAUAAAGGUCGUCAAGACUCUCGAGCUCGAGCAAGGUAUUUCGAGGUAGGAAUGUCAGCAGUGACUCAGUACAAUGAUACCGGAAGUUGGUGAGAAGGAAGAGGGUGCUGUAAUGAACGAAGGAAUGAAUGGAUACUCGUUCAAUGGCCCUCAGCUUGGCGUCCUACCUGGAAGAGCUGCACGCCUAUCACAGCGAACACGAACUGCAGGAGGCUGGUGACGAGGACUAUGUUUCCGAUAGUCUUUACCGCUACGAUGACGCACUGAACUACGUGCUAGAGAAAUUGAUUUUACCUGAAAAACAUGGAGACCAGGGACACGCAAACGACUAAUAAAUCCAGUACAUUGAAGGCUGAACGUAAAAAUGCUCCGUCGUGAAUGAUACAACCAUAGG